CAGUAGCCGCGGUAAUACAGAGGGUGCGAGCGUUAAUCGGAUUUACUGGGCGUAAAGCGUGCGUAGGCGGCUAAUUGAGUCGGAUGUGAAAUCCCCGAGCUUAACUUGGGAAUUGCAUUCGAUACUGGUUAGCUAGAGUGUGGGAGAGGAUGGUAGAAUUCCAGGUGUAGCGGUGAAAUGCGUAGAGAUUUGGAGGAAUACCGAUGGCGAAGGCAGCCAUCUGGCCUAACACUGACGCUGAGGUACGAAAGCAUGGGGAGCAAACAGGAUUAGAUACCCCCGUAGUCCCUGUCUCUUAUAC
rnacentral:rRNA from 1 species